UUGGCAACACUAUCAGCUGUUAGUAACAAAUGAAGAUGUCAAAUCUUGUGCGCCGAUUUUUGGCUGCUGCUCGUUUUUGGCGCAACGUACGGAAGGCAGCGCAGCCACUGAGUGGGAGUGAGUGCAAAAGUAUGUCUUCAGCUGAGAAAAGUGGUCUGGCGUUAAAAAAGUUACGUGAAUUCGGCUAUGCUUUUAAUGCAGAGGGUCAACUACGAAAAAUUGAUGAAACCACAGGAGAGCCUGGGGCAGAGCCUUUUAAAUUCACCAUAUCUGACGAUCAUGCCAAAAAUCAGGCACAUUACGAGCAAUUAGCUGAGCAAAUUCCUGAGAUUGUGUAUGAUCUUUUGGAACAAAAUGGUUUAAGACGCACAUAUGUACCUGAUGAUGUACCACAAGAGCAAGCAACAUUUAUUUUCACAAAACCCGAAAAGCUUGUAGAACCGAAAAAGCUAGUUGUCAUAAUUCAUGGUAGUGGUUACGUUAGAGCUGGUCAGUGGGCUAGAAGCCUCAUCAUUAACAACUCACUUGACCAUGGCACUCAAAUUCCCUAUAUUAAACGCGCAGAGUCCCUGGGAUAUGAUAUAUUGCUAACAAAUACAAAUGACAACUACCGCAUGAUCAAUGGGGAAAAUCGACCAAUACCACGACUUGGAUCUGCUUCAGCACACGCCAGAUAUGUUUGGGAAAAGUAUGUGAUGGCUUGUAAUCCCGAGAGUGUAGCAGUUGUAGCACAUAGCUACGGUGGAGCGAUUGCAAUGGAUUUGGCCAAACGUUUUACAAAAUUCUUUGAGAAAAACGUGUUUGCGAUUGCACUAACCGACUCUGCCCAUUUCCAAAUACCGGGUGAAGCUAAGCAGAUCAUUUUAGAUAUAUCUUGCAACUGGGUAUCUAGUUCUGCACCCCUCGACACCGAAAUCUAUACGGGAGAAGGAGAAAUGCUUAGUGUAUCGGCUGGACAUCCAAAGCACGAAUGGACCUCGUACUCCUCUUUUGAAUCAGUUUUUAAGUUCUUAGAAGAAAAAUAUGAACGUUUCAUUGCAGUUCGCACGGGAAGUAAAAAAGCAAAAACGGGAAAGUAAUGGUGGCAACUCUUUUCGAAAAACUAAAACCAGUUUGCCCAUCUACAGACCAAGCGCUUUAGUUUGACAUCUCAAAUUUGAAAAUCGGGCGAACGGUACAGAACUUUUAUGCUGGACAAAAAAUCCCUUCGCGUAUUAUAUAUGCAUGUAUCUAUAUAUAGUUACUACACACGAUUUUACGGAAUUUGCUACCAAUUCAAUUCCGGCUUUCAAGUUACACAUAAAUACGUACAUGCAAAGUUGCUGUUUCGAAGAAAAGUCAAGAUUAAUUCAAGAAAGUGUUAAACGACUGGAAAAUGUUUGCUCAAAUGGUGAGAGAAUCAAAAAUCGGCGAAAAAUGGGCAGAAAUGCGAGGAAAUAAAUAAAGCGGAGAACAAUGGUGCCCGAGGUGUCUGUGGGAAGAUUAGGAAAUCCAAAGAAGAUUAAAGCAAUAAAGGCACUCGUUCUUACAUACAUAUGCAAG